rnacentral:lncRNA from 1 species
CAGGGAGAAAUCUGGAGAUAAUGCAUUUUUACAGAGCUCACAGAAAAACCAAAGGGAAGUAAAUUAGGAGGUUCCUGUCUUGCUACUCAGAACAGAAAGGUGAAAAUAAUUUUGAAAGAUGACAACAUUUCAGUGGAAGUCAAUGAUUUUGUUAUCUCAGGAUUUUAUAUAUGUGUAAUUGCAUAAUUAGAAAAUAUGCAAUUGGCAUUUCUCUAUUUUAUGUUUUAAAAGUAAUCCUUGUAGCUUUUCUGUUAAAAUUUUUUAAAUAAAUCAUGCUUUAUUAUUAUGACUCUGUUAAUAUGUAUUUGGUUAAAGGAAGGAAAUCAAUGCUUUAAAAUAUUUGAAGGCAAUGCUUAAA